rnacentral:tRNA from 1 species
GUGGUUGUAGCUUAGCUGGUUAAAGCACCUGAUUGUGGCUCAGGAGAUCGUGGGUUCGAAUCCCACCAACCACCCCA